rnacentral:rRNA from 1 species
AGAGUUUGAUCCUGGCUCAGAUUGAACGCUGGCGGCAUGCCUUACACAUGCAAGUCGAACGGCAGCGCGGGGGCAACCCUGGCGGCGAGUGGCGAACGGGUGAGUAAUACAUCGGAACGUGUCCUGGAGUGGGGGAUAGCUCGGCGAAAGCCGGAUUAAUACCGCAUACGCUCUGAGGAGGAAAGCGGGGGAUCUUCGGACCUCGCGCUCAAGGGGCGGCCGAUGGCGGAUUAGCUAGUUGGUGGGGUAAAGGCCUACCAAGGCGACGAUCCGUAGCUGGUCUGAGAGGACGACCAGCCACACUGGGACUGAGACACGGCCCAGACUCCUACGGGAGGCAGCAGUGGGGAAUUUUGGACAAUGGGGGAAACCCUGAUCCAGCAAUGCCGCGUGUGUGAAGAAGGCCUUCGGGUUGUAAAGCACUUUUGUUCGGGAAGAAAUCCUUCGGGCUAAUACCUUGAGGGGAUGACGGUACCGGAAGAAUAAGCACCGGCUAACUACGUGCCAGCAGCCGCGGUAAUACGUAGGGUGCGAGCGUUAAUCGGAAUUACUGGGCGUAAAAGCGUGCGCAGGCGGUUCGCUAAGACCGAUGUGAAAUCCCCGGGCUUAACCUGGGAACUGCAUUGGUGACUGGCGGGCUAGAGUAUGGCAGAGGGGGGUAGAAUUCCACGUGUAGCAGUGAAAUGCGUAGAGAUGUGGAGGAAUACCGAUGGCGAAGGCAGCCCCCUGGGCCAAUACUGACGCUCAUGCACGAAAGCGUGGGGAGCAAACAGGAUUAGAUACCCCAGUAGUCC